UCAUUGUUAUCGUUACAUUGAAUUGUUGGUUUUUUGUUCGGUUUACAAAACCUGAACCUGAACCUGAAACAAGGAGUUAAUUGAUACUACUUUAUAUUAGUCAUGUUAUGUAUUAUAAAUUACUGUAUAAAUAUAAUUUUACAUGCAAUUUAAUGAAUGGAAGUUGAUACCAAAUUUAAUUUCUAGCUAAACUGUGUUACAAAUCAAAAGGGAAAUUAAAAUAGAAUAACUACGUGAAAGCAAUAGCUUUUUAGUGUAACAUUUAGUUUCACUUACCUCAAAUACUAUCGUUUUUUUUAUCGAGGAACGAACCUUCAUAGUGACACACCUUCCAGAAGGGAAGGCCAGCUUUGCUGGAAGCACCACACUACCAGCUACCUAAAAAGAGAUAAAUUUGUAUACUAGUGAAGGUUCCUUUCAAUAGCUCGUUGUAACUCGUUUAUUUUUACUUAAUCGAAUCGAAGUGUAUGCAACAGAGGAAAGAACACUGUUGUAUGUAACACGCCGGUAUUUUGUACAUGAGUAUGUCCGAUGACGAAAAAAUCGACUCCGGAUCAUCCUCGCUAAAACGAAUAAAUGUAAAAAAUAAAUGUAAAUUGUAUUCAUACUGUUUUCCUUGUAUCGUAAAAUUGUCAUUUCUUUGAAUGCCACUCAAAAAUUUUACUAUUCUGUUGCCCUUCGUCAAAAUCCAUUCGUCGCUAGGCAAUGGUCGUAGAGCAAAAUCGGAGGCCAAAAAAAAUGCCUUUCCCGUUUGUGGUCAAGUGCGGAUAGCGACUGUUCGUGCUACUACUUGCCACCCCCAAUGCAGAUCGUUCUUCUGAACGUGCUGCAGCUUGAAUCCCACACCGAAAGCCUGAUCGAACCGACUUCUGAAUAAUUUGCAGGUGAUUUUCAAAACAGUACGUAGAAAACCCGUUUAGUGGUCCGUACUUCAAAACGUCCUGAACAAUGUGCUGGAGGUUAUGUACGUUACUCGUAACGUUCUGACGACCUUAAAUCUCCCCAUACUGCUGAACAAAAGUGUUCAUAAAUUCAGCUGCACGUCCCCAAUGGUUGCGAUGAAAUGAGGACGAAAAUAUAGUCAAAGCUCAAAAAUAAAGCAAGAAGUGACUAUAUGCUUUCUCGCUUAAAAAUUCCUCUAUCAGCACUGGACUGACGUAAUGAAGGUACGAUCGAAAUUCCGAACCCUUCCAAAACCGUAUCACAUCCAACCCUUUUUUUGCGAUUAAUCUCAGAGGGAAGUUGCACGGUGGUAAGGAAUUUCGAUAUCCAUUGUUUUGCUGCAGAAGACAUGUUAGGAAAACCGGGAACCAUGUUUUCAAAAAAACGUAGUAGGUGUCGACGGGUCACCCCAAGAUCGCAUGUAUGUAGGCGCACGUUCUCCACUAUGUUGAACCCCGGUAAGUCCUCUAAGGGUGAGCGCCAUAGUUGGUGAUGACCCGGACAUUCCCUAGCUCGAAAUCCUACAUCGGUUCGUACGGGUGCAACAACGGUGUCGAAAAUCAUUUGGUGUGAAUAAUAUUCCCCGACGCAGGAUACCUUGUCAAAUUGGUGAUAUCAGUUCGAAAAUCUGUAAAAAAAUUAUUAGUGCCGGUUUGGUAUGAUUCUGCGAUUACAGAAUCGGAAAACAGAAUGUUCGUGUAAAUUCUGGGUACCGUUGGUGCUACUUUCCAACGCAUUCUUCUAGCCUCGCGCAUGGUAAAACGAUUUAUGGUUUGUAUUUUUUUUAUUUCAUAUUGGUCAUUCAUAUUGGAAAUGGGUUAUAUGUUGCUAAACUUUUCCCUGCUGUUGUGCAUUCCACGACCAUGUAUUUCUCUUCCGGCACUUGAAAUUCACUUAGAUCUAGUCUUUUAUUCCUUCCCUCUUUUUUGUAUUCUUUCGUCUAUCAUAUUCUAGGAUAUUGUAGAAUAAACCGAAGGUCCUACCACCAUCAGGGGUCAUCGACCUCUAUCUUAGAUUUAGGAUUUUUUUCUCUUUUUUAUGAACCCUAAACCACUUUUUUCAAAUUCAAAUAUCAAAUUUUCAAAUUUUUGUUUAACGGUUUUAGCUUGCUCGCUCUUUGAAGUCACUGGAGACUGUCGGCUGUCAAAUGUCACUAUUGAAGGAUCGUGACGCGUCAACCGCUUUGUGCUUUUCAAAUCACAUCGAAGUAUCGACUGGAGCAGUUUGUAGGAAUUUUCCGAAAUUGCAUGGUGUUGCGUCCUUAGCUUUCGUGCAUUUCCUUUUCAAAGUAGACCAAUACCAACGGUACAAUGCAGAAUCUCGGAAUUGUGGAUCAAUGGAAGAAAAAUGUCGAUUAUUUACCGUGUACAGUCUGUAAAAAACAACUACGCUUUCCAUGUCCGUGGUGCACGUUGCAUUCUAAUCCCCUCGGAAGAUGCUUGGCGUUUAGACAAAAGAAUGGCGUAAGGCAUCCGUGGACGCUUGUUUCACUGGCGACCACACAACUAACAUACGCAAUGGUUUCCCCUUUCAGCGAUACCGGCACUACCACUGCUCCAAAAACGAAAACGAUGGUGCUACAUCAAGCAAAAUUGACCAAUUGACAGAGCCAUAAGGGGAGACGUCCAUCAUUUCCGAAACCCGCUAAAUCUGUUUUGCUCAAAUCCGCGAUGUAUAAAUGUUUGGUAGUUAAUAAAUCGAAAUUCGCAAUGUA